AGAGUUUGAUCAUGGCUCAUAACGAACGCUGGCGGCGUGCCUAACACAUGCAAGUCGAACGGAGUUAACAGCAGCACUCAGCAGUCAGUAAUCAGCGAUCAGCAAGGGAGAGAAGAUCUUUAUAGCUGGCAGCGAAGGGCUGAAAGCUGAGUGCUGUUGUUAACUUAGUGGCGGACGGGUGAGUAACACGUAGGUAACCUACCUCAAAGCGGGGGACAACUCUUCGAAAGGAGAGCUAAUACCGCAUAAGACUACGGACUGGGAUGUUUGUAGUAAAAGGAGCGAUCCACUUUGAGAGGGGCCUGCGGCCUAUCAGGUAGUUGGUAAGGUAACGGCUUACCAAGCCGAAGACGGGUAGCCGGACUGAGAGGUUGAACGGCCACACUGGAACUGAGACACGGUCCAGACUCCUACGGGAGGCAGCAGUGGGGAAUUUUGCGCAAUGGGGGAAACCCUGACGCAGCGACGCCGCGUGAAGGAUGAAGGUCUUCGGAUUGUAAACUUCUUUUGUCGGGGAAGAUAAUGACGGUACCCGAUGAAUAAGCCACGGCUAACUCUGUGCCAGCAGCCGCGGUAAGACAGAGGUGGCAAGCGUUGUUCGGAAUUACUGGGCUUAAAGGGCGCGUAGGCGUCCCGGUAAGUCAGAUGUGGAAGCUUUCCGCUUAACGGGAAAAUUGCAUCUGAUACUGUCGGGAUUGAGUCAGCGAGGGGAUGGCGGAAUUCCAGGUGUAGCGGUGAAAUGCGUAGAUAUCUGGAGGAAGGCCGGUGGCGAAGGCGGCCAUCUGGCGCUGAACUGACGCUGAGGCGCGAAAGCGUGGGGAGCAAACAGGAUUAGAUACCCUGGUAGUCCACGCCCUAUACGGUGGGUACUAGGUGUACGGCUCGCAAGGGUUUCUGUGCCGUAGGGAAACCAUUAAGUACCCCGCCUGGGGAGUACUGCCGCAAAGUUGAAACUCAAAAGGAAUUUGACAAGGGCCCGCACAAGCGGUGGUAGCAUGUGGUUUUAUUUCGACGCAACGCGAAGAACCUUACCUGGGCCUUGACAUUGUUAGGUGGUAGGAA
rnacentral:rRNA from 1 species